UGUAAAGAAAGUCGUAACAAGGUUUCCGUAGGUGAACCUGCGGAAGGAUCAUUA
rnacentral:rRNA from 1 species